UCCUCCCCUUAGCGGUAACGGGUUCUAACCCGAACACCUGGUUUCACUAGCGUCGGGGGGAGAAGGCGGGAGGACUGUCCUUUACGGCCCAGGGCGGACUACAGUUCCCAGCAUGCCUUGCUCCCACCCGCAGCCUUGUCUCCGUUUACUUCCUGCGAUGCCUGACGGGAAUGGUAGUUUCUAGGAAGAGACAAGAGAAACUUUUGAAUGAUUUGGAGUUGGGGCAGGCAAUUAGUUGUGCAAACCUGUAGUGAACCCAUUUCGCCGCUCUUACUGAAGAGAGAAGGCUAACUAGUAGUCAGAAGAGUUUUCUGAGGACGUUUGCAGAGGUUUUAGAGUCCUGGAAUUUGAAUUAUCUUACUUUCAGUUUGGCCCUCUUAAGUCACUUCCGCUUUGGGGCGGACACUUGCCAAACCUGUGGCGGGAGUUGGAGAUUCUGCAGCGACUGCACCAGCUUGCAUCAAAAAGUGGCGACUUCUUGGUACUCCCCUUGCCCUGGCCUGGCCCUGCGGGAAAUGAACUGAUGAAUGAAGUCAUCAUUGUAAAGAUUUCGGAUCCUGUAGUCUACAGAGGAUCAUCAUGCCUAUAGUUCGUAACAUAAAAAAGUCUGUUAUACCUCAGUCUUCUUGUGAGAGAAGUGAAUCUUGUAAACCGCUGGAUUUUUUGCCUGAAAAACUAAGGGCAAAGCUGCUUCCUUUCCAGAAAGAUGGCAUCAGUUUUGCCCUCAGAAGAGAUG